rnacentral:rRNA from 1 species
UACGUAGGGUGCAAGCGUUGUCCGGAAUUAUUGGGCGUAAAGAGCGUGUAGGCGGCCCGAUUAGUCCGCUGUGAAAGUCCAGGGCUCAACCCUGGAAUGCCGGUGGAUACUGUCGGGCUAGAGUCCGGAAGGGGCGAGUGGAAUUCCUGGUGUAGCGGUGAAGUGCGCAGAUAUCAGGAGGAACACCAAUGGCGAAGGCAGCUCGCUGGGACGUGACUGACGCUGAGACGCGAAAGCGUGGGGAGCAAACAGG